AUUGAACGCUGGCGGCAGGCCUAACACAUGCAAGUCGAACGGUAACAGGAAGCAGCUUGCUGCUUCGCUGACGAGUGGCGGACGGGUGAGUAAUGUCUGGGAAGCUGCCUGAUGGAGGGGGAUAACUACUGGAAACGGUAGCUAAUACCGCAUAAUGUCGCAAGACCAAAGAGGGGGACCUUCGGGCCUCUUGCCAUCGGAUGUGCCCAGAUGGGAUUAGCUUGUUGGUGGAGUAACGGCUCACCAAGGCGACGAUCCCUAGCUGGUCUGAGAGGAUGACCAGCCACACUGGGACUGAGACACGGUCCAGACUCCUACGGGAGGCAGCAGUGGGGAAUAUUGCACAAUGGGCGCAAGCCUGAUGCAGCCAUGCCGCGUGUAUGAAGAAGGCCUUCGGGUUGUAAAGUACUUUCAGCGGGGAGGAAGGGAGUAAAGUUAAUACCUUUGCUCAUUGACGUUACCCGCAGAAGAAGCACCGGCUAACUCCGUG
rnacentral:rRNA from 1 species